UACGGAGGAUGCGAGCGUUAUCCGGAUUUAUUGGGUUUAAAGGGUGCGUAGGCGGAUUUGUAAGUCAGCGGUAAAAAUGCGGUGCUCAACGCCGUAUCGCCGUUGAAACUGCGGGUCUUGAGUGAGCGAGAAGUAUGCGGAAUGCGUGGUGUAGCGGUGAAAUGCAUAGAUAUCAUGAAGAACUCCGAUCGCGAAGGCAAGUGUCCGGGGUGCAACUGACGCUGAGGCUCGAAAGUGCGGGUAUCAAACAGG
rnacentral:rRNA from 1 species